AUUGAACGCUGGCGGCAGGCCUAACACAUGCAAGUCGAGCGGAUGAAGGGAGCUUGCUCCUGGAUUCAGCGGCGGACGGGUGAGUAAUGCCUAGGAAUCUGCCUGGUAGUGGGGGAUAACGUCCGGAAACGGGCGCUAAUACCGCAUACGUCCUGAGGGAGAAAGUGGGGGAUCUUCGGACCUCACGCUAUCAGAUGAGCCUAGGUCGGAUUAGCUAGUUGGUGGGGUAAAGGCCUACCAAGGCAACGAUCCGUAACUGGUCUGAGAGGAUGGUCAGUCACACUGGAACUGAGACACGGUCCAGACUCCUACGGGAGGCAGCAGUGGGGAAUAUUGGACAAUGGGCGAAAGCCUGAUCCAGCCAUGCCGCGUGUGUGAAGAAGGUCUUCGGAUUGUAAAGCACUUUAAGUUGGGAGGAAGGGCAGUAAGUUAAUACCUUGCUGUUUUGACGUUACCAACAGAAUAAGCACCGGCUAACUUCGUG
rnacentral:rRNA from 1 species